CGGCCGCAUAGCAGGCGCCCGCAGAAACGCAACUGAACGAUGAGCUGAGGGUCGCUGCAGUGGAUCUUGAGUAUCUGCAGUACGUCGGGGCUGUCCCCACUCUCUGCGGAGGCGAUCAGUCAGGCCACCCGCUGUCCCCAAACAGGACUUUUCUUCCAGCAGCCAGAGGAGGAAGCUAAGCCCGUAGUCCGGCCUAUUCUCCCAACCCCCACCUUCAGCCUCUACUGCUCUCUGCCCAGAGAGAACGGAAAGGAGAUGCAAAUAGAUCAUCUCCAGACUUGGAAACAACUAUCCAGUCUCAUGUGGUCCAGCUGUCCUUCCACAGAGUUCCCAGCUUUUGACUCUGCUCAUAGUCCUGCCCAACCCAGGCAUGAAUCCCUCCACUGCCUUUGACAAGAAGUCUAAGGUCACAGUAACAGCAGAACAGAGGUGGGUCCUAGGCCAGUAUGUUUCUCUUAUGAAAGCUGACAAAAGGUAUCUUCCACCUGAAUGGUGCGCAUGCUCCAAAACCAGCCAGACUAC
rnacentral:lncRNA from 1 species